ACGCUCGACACCUACGGAGGCAGCAGUUAGGAAUAUUGGGCAAUGGAGGAAACUCUGACCCAGCAACGCCGCGUGAAGGAAGAAGGUUUUCGGAUUGUAAACUUCUGAUCUAGGGGAAGAAGGAAGUGACGGUACCCUAGGAGAAAGCCACGGCUAACUACGUGUCAGCAGCCGCGGUAAUCUGAGCGGGCUGGCAAGGC
rnacentral:rRNA from 1 species